UCGGCGUUUUCCCCCCAUGGGCGCUGCAGCUCCCUCAGGGGCUUCCGGCGCUCCCCUCGCAGCCCCUGACUCCCGUUGCUGGUGCCGCUCCCAGCGGGUGGGCCCGCGCUGUCCUCUUGGAUUGAAAAAAAAAAAAAAACCCAAACAAAAAACCCCCAACUAAUUAGCAUAGAAUGAUAAGGGUUUGGAAUGGAGCUUAAAGAUCAUCUAGUUCUUACCCACCCUGCCCCUAGAUCAGGUUGCUCAAGGCCUGACCCAGCCUGGCCUUGAACGCUGCCAGGAUUGGGGCAUCCACAAGCUGCCUGAGCAGCCUUUUCUAGUGCUUCACUGCCCUCUGAGUAAAGAAUUUCUUCCUAAUAUCUGUAUUUUCCCUCAUUAUGUAUACGCUCAUUACUCCUUGUCGUAUUACCCAUUGUCCUCUCAUUACAGCUCCUGACAAGAGUCCCUCCACAGAUUGCCUGUAGAUAUGCUACAUUUUCAUGUUAUUGUUUUAAUUGUUUUGCACCCCAGAUCUUCAAGUCUGGGCCUUUUUAAUAAUGAAAAAAAGCUACUAUGAGAUUCCCGGUGCAAACAAUAACCUUGGAAGCACUCUGAGAAAGGAAACUCCCUCAUCAUGUCGAAUUCCCCUUCAGAAGCCACCUUGCUUCCUGAACAGCUCUGCAUUUUGUUAUGGACCCAAGUUAUCAGAAAGUGUGUGUGCAACUGGUGUUUUAUUCAUUAUUCCAGGCAGCUCCUGGAGACCAGCAUUCAACAAAGAAAGGCAGUGCCUGAUGAAAAGUGCACUGCAGCUCAAAUACACACCAAAAAAAAAAAAAAAAAUACACACGAUACAGCACAUGUCUACUGAAGAAAUGAGUUGGCCUUUUGAGAGGGGUGUGGAUAGGCACAUUCACAUACCAAGACUGUGAAACUGUCCAAGAACAAAAAAAAUAAAUCAAGAAAAUGAA